CCUACGGGAGGCAGCAGUGAGGAAUAUUGGUCAAUGGUCGGGAGACUGAACCAGCCAAGCCGCGUGAGGGAUGAAGGUACAGAGUAUCGUAAACCUCUUUUGUCAGGGAACAAAGGCGGGGACGUGUCCCCGGAUGAGUGUACCUGAAGAAAAAGCAUCGGCUAACUCCGUGCCAGCAGCCGAGGUAAUACGGAGGAUGCGAGCGUUAUCCGGAUUUAUUGGGUUAAAGGGGUGCCGAGGGGGUCUGUUAAGUCAGCGGUAAAAGCCCGGGGCUCAACCCCGGCCCGCAGUUGAAACUGGCAGUCUAGAGUUGGAGAGAGGUAGGCGGAAUGCGCGGUGUAGCGGUGAAAUGCAUAGAUAUCGCGCAGAACUCCGAUUGCGAAGGCAGCAUGCCGGCUCCACACUGACGCUGAGGCACGAAAGCGUGGGUAUCGAACAGGAUUAGAUACCCCAGUAGUC
rnacentral:rRNA from 1 species